UUGCACGCUGGCGGCAUGCCUUACCCAUGCAAAUCGAACGGUAACGGGCCUUCGGGUGCCGACGAGUGGCGAACGGGUGAGUAAUACAUCGGAACGUGCCCGAUCGUGGGGGAUAACGAGGCGAAAGCUUUGCUAAUACCGCAUACGAUCUACGGAUGAAAGCAGGGGACCGCAAGGCCUUGCGCGGACGGAGCGGCCGAUGGCAGAUUAGGUAGUUGGUGGGAUAAAAGCUUACCAAGCCGACGAUCUGUAGCUGGUCUGAGAGGAUGAUCAGCCACACUGGGACUGAGACACGGCCCAGACUCCUACGGGAGGCAGCAGUGGGGAAUUUUGGACAAUGGGCGCAAGCCUGAUCCAGCCAUGCCGCGUGCAGGAUGAAGGCCUUCGGGUUGUAAACUGAUUUUGUACGGAACGAAAAGCCUUCUUUUAAUACAGGAGGGUCAUGACGGUACCGUAAGAAUAAGCACCGGCUAACUACGUG
rnacentral:rRNA from 1 species